UUAAACUGAAGAGUUUGAUCAUGGCUCAGAUUGAACGCUGGCGGCAGGCUUAACACAUGC
rnacentral:rRNA from 1 species